GUUGCUGUUUGUUGUUGGUGGUGGCGGUGGUGCUGGUGCUGGGGUUGCCUUUGCUGCAUGCAUAACGGUUAACGCGUGACGUUAUAAACCUCCUUCCAUCCCCCCUCCGACAAAGCAACAAACACUUGCUCCACGCUCUCUUCAUUCAAUGAAAAUUUGCUUGAAAUAGACCGAGAGAAAGACAGAGACAUAGAGACACCGAAAGAGAAAGCAACAUCAUGAUGGAUGACGAUGAUUCAAUGCUCAAUAAUGGACCACAGCCUGGUGUUGAGACGGUCUACGGCACCGAGGAUAACAAUAUGGUCAUGUCAGAGAAGAAUGAACAGGUUGUCAGCAUUGUUCAACAAUUGGCUGGUAGCAUUUAUCAGGAAUUUGAACGCAUGAUCAAUCGUUAUGAUGAGGAUGUGGUGAAAAAUCUGAUGCCAUUGCUGGUGAACGUGCUGGAGUGUCUGGAUGCUUCCUAUCGCAUCAAUCAAGAGCAGGAUGUCGAAGUGGAAUUGCUACGGGAGGACAAUGAACAACUGGUCACACAAUAUGAGAGGGAGAAAAGUGCACGUAAACAGUCCGAACAGAAGCUGCUGGAGGCGGAGGAUUUGGCCGAACAGGAAAACAAAGAGUUGGCCAAUCGUCUGGAAUCAUUGGAGAGCAUAGUGCGUAUGCUAGAACUGAAGCAUAAGAAUAGUUUAGAGCAUGCCAGCCGUUUGGAGGAGAGAGAGGCUGACCUGAAAAAGGAGUACAACAAAUUGCACGAGAGGUAUACGGAACUCUUCAAAAAUCAUGUUGAUUAUAUGGAACGAACCAAAAUGCUAAUGGGUUCCACACACUCACAAAUGAGCACAGCCUCUGAUCGCAUGGAAGUCAGUCGAGCUCGCCUUAAUCCGGUGGCACGUAGUUCAGGUCCCGUUUCGUAUGGCUUUGCUUCGCUAGAGAACUCUGUGAUGUUGGAUACGGAAACCAUUUGCAGUGUUGGUAGUCAAUCGGACGAUGAUUCAGGGCCGCCAUCGUUGCAAAAUGAGUUGGAUCAACUGCAGGCGACUGCUGGUGGUAGCCGAGAUGGUCUAACAAUUGAACGUGGAGCAGCCACCGAUGCACUACAGCAACAACAUCAGGCCACUUCGCCAAACAGUCCGCUCAAUGAUGAUGACAGUAGUCCCAUUGUGCCAAAUGUACCCGCAAAUGUUGGUCGUUCCACUACCAAAAAGGAGCAACGCACGGAUAAUAAUCUAUACCAAGAGUUAUCCUUCCAGGAUAACGAAGAAAGCGAAGAGAAUGAGAUUGUAACAGGCAGUUGGGUACAUCCCGGAGAAUAUGCAUCCUCAGCUAAUGACAACUAUUUUGGCAUGGGCAAAGAGGUGGAGAAUCUAAUAAUGGAAAAUAAUGAACUAUUGGCAACCAAGAAUGCCUUGAACAUUGUCAAAGAUGAUUUGAUAGUGAAAGUGGAUGAGCUCACUGGGGAGAUAGAAAUCGUUCGUGAGGAGCUUAAUGCCAUGCAACAGUCGAGGACCAAAUUGAGGCAACGCAUUAGUGAGCUAGAAGAUGAGCUAAAGAAGGUCAAGGAGCAGGUGAAACAGCAAAACUCUGAGCAGGAGGAAAAUGAUGUGCCCUUGGCUCAGCGUAAACGUUUCACUCGUGUUGAGAUGGCAAUGGUGCUAAUGGAACGUAAUCAAUAUAAGGAGAGGCUAAUGGAGCUCCAAGAGGCAGUGCGUCUAACGGAGAUCCUAAGAGCUUCACGCACUGUAGAUAAUUUGGAUAAGAAAUCGAAGCAAAGCAUUUGGAAAUAUUUUAGUAAUCUUUUUACCCCCUCCAAUCGUCCAACGGAACGUGUAGCCGAUGGACUAGGAGGGGGGCCUAUGUUUCGUCACACCGGCGGAGGAAGCCCUAGCCACAGCCAUGGAUCCCCCAGCCGAGGUGGGGGAGGAGGUGGAGGAAGUGGCGACAAUCGCCUUGCCCUAACUGCUGGAUCACAUCCACCACCACAUCCAGCCAGUGCGGGAUUAGCAAAUGCUUUAAUAGCAGCCAAAGAUUAUGCCGAAGAGGGCAGCUCGGAGAGAAUAAAUGCGCGUCGUCGUGAACAAUAUCGUCAGUUGAGAGCGCACGUUCAGAAGGAAGAUGGCCGCCUGCAUGCCUAUGGAUGGAGCCUGCCCAUCAAUAGCAAGACAGGAGGAGUUGGCAAUAAUCAGGACAACAAUCAAUCGAAUCCCAUUCGACAUUCAGCUGGAGGUGUUCCAGUGCCCGUGUAUUGCAAUCCCCUUGCUGAGGCUUCACCGCACAUGAAAGUGUUUUGUGCCGCUGGCGUUAAUCUUCAAGGGGGCUUCACCAAAGAUGGUCAAUCAUUGAUACCUGAUAGUUCACCUUACGCUCCCAAAUCCACGCUUAAGAUAGCUGAAAUCACCAGCCCCACGGCCGAUAAGAGUGUCGAGGCGCUGGAUAGACAAAUGGCGCGGGCCAGUUUAGAAUGCCUCGAACCCGAGACACAAUUGAGUUCAUUCGUUUGGAUCUGUACGAGCACCCAUGCUGCCAGUACGGUCAGUGUUGUGGAUGCCAAUCAAUCGGCAACUGUUCUCGAUGCAUUUCCAAUUUGUUCAUCGCAUUUGCUCUGCAUAGCCUCGGUACAGGGGGCCAUGGAGACGGAUUAUGCUUUGCUCGAGCAGAGCGAGGUGAUCAAAGCGGGUGAAAUGCUUCAAAGACCCGGCGAGGGAUCAGAGCUUCUUGGCAAAGUUGAAUUUGUGAGAGUGAAACCCAAAUUGAAGACAGAUGACGAUGAAAUUGUGCAAGAUCAAAAUAGCAAUAGCCAAGAAGAAGAGCAAGCUAAGGAGGCGAAUGAGCAGAUGCCAACGAUUGGCGAUUCGCAAGAACCAUUGGGUAAUGUGGAGGCCAUUAAAAUACGUCAGGCUCUACCUGGAGGGCCACAACGUUUAUCCACCACAAAUGGCAAUCAGCAGCAGAUGACCAACAACAACAAUCAGAUAACAUCUGCCACAGCCACAAUUAACAACUCCACAACUAACACGACCACCAACUCCUUUACUUCUGCCAUCAAUCCGAUACUCGAUACAAAAGAUCGUGAUGAACCUGUGAUGUCAUCGGUGGGACCGACAAUGUGGUUAGGUGCCCAAGAUGGUUGGCUUUAUGUGCACAGCAGUGUGGGGCAAUGGCAUCAAUGUUUGCAUCGCUGCCUCCUGCCUGAUGCCGUCCUAGCGAUUGUCCAUGUUGAGUCGCGGGUUGUCGUUGCACUGGCCAAUGCCCAAUUGGCUGUGUUCCGCCGCCAAACAGAUGGCCAAUGGGAUCUGAAUAGUUAUCAUCUGGUUACGCUCGGUGAUCGCAAUCAUUCGAUACGUUGCCUCUGUGUGGCCGGAGAACGCAUUUGGGCAGCGCAUCGCAACAAGAUCUUCAUUGUGGAUCCCAUAUCUCUCAAUAUUGUGCACUCGCUGGAUGCGCAUCCGCGCAAAGAGAGUCAAGUGCGUCAAAUGGCAGCCACUGGCGCUGGGGUAUGGGUAUCAAUACGUUUGGACUCGACUUUGCGUCUUUAUAAUACGCAUACAUUUGAGCACAAGCAGGAUGUGGAUAUUGAGCCAUAUGUAUCAAAAAUGCUUGGUACUGGCAAAUUGGGCUUUAGUUUUGUACGCAUCACAGCAUUAAUGGUGUCCUGCAAUCGCCUAUGGAUUGGCACUAGCAACGGUGUAAUUAUAUCAGUGCCAUUGGCCGAAAAUCUUCAUCAGAAACCAUCAUCGGCAUCGGCCGAUCCUCAUGGUCAGAUGCCUUUGUGUUGUAUGGCAAAUGCUCAAUUAUCGUUUCAUGGUCAUCGUGAUGCUGUUAAAUUCUUUGUCUCUGUACCAAUGCUCCAGCAACCGAGUGCCGAGGCAUUAACUUUCACCAACAAACGACCCGAUAUGCUAGUUAUGUGCGGCGGUGAGGGUUAUAUCGAUUUUCGCAUUAGACAUGAUAAAUUCGAUGCUAGUGAUAAUGCUGCUCAUUUGAUAGUUUGGAAAGUCGAUACUACCUUCAAUUUGUAGAAGAUCUUCGCAUACGGAUUGCAGACGCUGAUAAGAAAUUCAGUCUCCCCCUCUCCUUCUAAGAUGACAAUGACAUGGAGAACAGUAUUCAACUGGAACCAAAUCAAACAAUUGAAAAUCGAGGCGAUAAAAGUUAUUUGAUUGUGUGGCAUGUUAGUCAACGUUAAUUCUA